UACUAGAGACCGGCGCACGGGUGCGUAACGCGUAUGCAAUCUACCUUUUGCAGAGGGAUAGCCCAGAGAAAUUUGGAUUAAUACCUCAUAGUAUAUAGACUUCGCAUGAAGAUUAUAUUAAAGUAACAACGGCAAAAGAUGAGCAUGCGUCCCAUUAGCUAGUUGGUAAGGUAACGGCUUACCAAGGCAACGAUGGGUAGGGGUCCUGAGAGGGAGAUCCCCCACACUGGUACUGAGACACGGACCAGACUCCUACGGGAGGCAGCAGUGAGGAAUAUUGGACAAUGGGCGCAAGCCUGAUCCAGCCAUGCCGCGUGCAGGAAGACGGUCCUAUGGAUUGUAAACUGCUUUUGUACAGGAAGAAACCCUCUCACGUGUGAGAGAUUGACGGUACUGUAAGAAUAAGGAUCGGCUAACUCCGUGCCAGCAGCCGCGGUAAUACGGAGGAUCCAAGCGUUAUCCGGAAUCAUUGGGUUUAAAGGGUCCGUAGGCGGUCAGGUAAGUCAGUGGUGAAAGCCCAUCGCUCAACGGUGGAACGGCCAUUGAUACUGCUUGACUUGAAUUAUAAAGAAGUAACUAGAAUAUGUAGUGUAGCGGUGAAAUGCUUAGAGAUUACAUGGAAUACCAAUUGCGAA
rnacentral:rRNA from 1 species